rnacentral:lncRNA from 1 species
UUCAUUUUGCGUGUAAACUGAGGUCAGCCCUGGGACUUUGUCUACUUUUCCUAUUCUUGAGUCAUUUCCUGUUAACCUGACUGUCAUCUCGAAUUCCACCUAGGCCUGUACCCUCUCCUGCUUUUAUUUAGCCCCUCUCUUACCCGAACCAGUAAGCCAGUGGCUGGAGCCCAUCUACCCAGUGGCUGACUUCCAGGUGGCCAGUGGUCUACCUGAAUUUCUGAUGAAAAUCUGCUUCUGCUUUCCCUAAACAUGCUUCUUCCUCCUCUUGGCCUCUGCUGCCCACGUGGCUGGGUGAUCCCAGUUUCUGCUCUACAUUCACUCACUCAGCACACUGAGUACCUGUUUUUGGGUCACUUUCUAGGGUCAUGUGCCAGCGAAGAGCUUAAGCCAUGAUCUCGCUCUCGAGCUUUAUCAAGUCCUCUGGCUUGUGUUCUUUCUGCCACACUGCCCCUGGAGCCCUUCUUAAAGUGACUGCCUGCCUCCUCUGUGUGUUGUACCACAGUCUGGGGUACUCUGGGGCCCUCUGUCUUCACCAAGAUUUGCCUGCCUUUAACUGAACUCUGCCUUGGCUAUAUGC